rnacentral:rRNA from 1 species
AUCCAGACUCCUACGGGAGGCAGCAGUGGGGAAUAUUGCACAAUGGGGGAAACCCUGAUGCAGCGACGCCGCGUGAGUGAAGAAGUAUUUCGGUAUGUAAAGCUCUAUCAGCAGGGAAGAAAAUGACGGUACCUGACUAAGAAGCCCCGGCUAACUACGUGCCAGCAGCCGCGGUAAUACGUAGGGGGCAAGCGUUAUCCGGAUUUACUGGGUGUAAAGGGAGCGUAGACGGCAGUGCAAGUCCGGAGUGAAAGCCCGGGGCUCAACCCUGGGACUGCUCUGGAAACUGUAAAGCUGGAGUGCGGGAGGGGCAGGCGGAAUUCCUGGUGUAGCGGUGAAAUGCGUAGAUAUCAGGAGGAACACCGGCGGCGAAGGCGGCCUGCUGGACCGUAACUGACGUUGAGGCUCGAAAGCGUGGGGAGCAAACAGGAUUAGAUACCCCUGUA